rnacentral:rRNA from 1 species
UACAGAGGGUGCGAGCGUUGUCCGGAAUCACUGGGCGGAAAGAGCUCGUAGGCGGCUUGUCGCGUCGACUGUGAAAACCCGCGGCUCAACCGUGUGGUCUGCAGUCGAUACGGGCAGGCUAGAGUUCGGUAGGGGAGACUGGAAUUCCUGGUGUAGCGGUGAAAUGCGCAGAUAUCAGGAGGAACACCGGUGGCGAAGGCGGGUCUCUGGACCGAUACUGACGCUGAGGAGCGAAAGCGUGGGGAGCGAACAGG